GAUGGGCCCGCGGUGCAUUAGCUAGUUGGUGGGGUAACGGCCCACCAAGGCCACGAUGCAUAGCUGGUCUGAGAGGAUGAUCAGCCACACUGGGACUGAGACACGGCCCAGACUCCUACGGGAGGCAGCAGCCAGGAAUCUUGGGCAAUGGGCGCAAGCCUGACCCAGCAACACCGUGUGGGCGAUGAAGGCCUUCGGGUCGUAAAGCCCUGUUGAUAGGGACGAAGGGCGAAGGGUUAAUAGCCCCUAGCCUGACGGUACCUUUCGAGGAAGCCCCGGCUAACUACGUGCCAGCAGCCGCGGUAAUACGUAGGGGGCGAGCGUUGUCCGGAUUUAUUGGGCGUAAAGAGCGUGUAGGCGGUUCGGUAAGUCUGUCGUGAAAUCCUGAGGCUCAACCUCGGACGUGCGAUGGAUACUGCCGGGCUAGAGGAUGGUAGAGGCGAGUGGAAUUCCCGGUGUAGCGGUGAAAUGCGCAGAUAUCGGGAGGAACACCAGUAGCGAAGGCGGCUCGCUGGGCCAUUCCUGACGCUGAGACGCGAAAGCUAGGGGAGCAAACAGGAUUAGAUACCCUGGUAGUCCUAGCCGUAAACGAUGGACACUAGGUGU
rnacentral:rRNA from 1 species